UNUGAACGUGUUGUAGCAUUUAUCAGGGUA
rnacentral:piRNA from 1 species